UAAGACGAACCGUGCGAACGUUGUUCGGAAUCACUGGGCUUAAAGGGCGCGUAGGCGGGCUGGUCGGUCAGGGGUGAAAUCCUCCGGCUCAACCGGAGAACAGCCUUUGAUACCGCCAGUCUCGAGGGAGGUAGGGGCAUGUGGAACUUCCGGUGGAGCGGUGAAAUGCGUAGAUAUCGGAAGGAACGCCGGUGGCGAAAGCGACGUGCUGGACCUCUUCUGACGCUGAGGCGCGAAAGCUAGGGGAGCAAACGGGAUUAGAUACCCCGGUAGUCCUAGCCCUAAACGAUGGGUACUAGAUUGGAGGCUUCUAUGGGCUUCCAGUCGAAGCAAAAGUGAUAAGUACCCCGCCUGGGGAGUAUGGUCGCAAGGCUG
rnacentral:rRNA from 1 species